rnacentral:rRNA from 1 species
UCGUAAUUAAUUUUCAUGUGCUGAGUAUGAUUUAAGAUCGGAAAAGUAUAAUUAUAUGGCGGUUUUAUGUCUAACUAGAGAGACAUGUUUAUUAAUACGAAGUUGCACGAUUAUCUUACUUAUAACUACUUUACACACCGUCGUCGGAUAGAAAUUAUCGAUAGAUAAUUUCUUAUACCUUAUGGUAUUAAGUCAGAUCAAGGCGUAGGUUAAUUUAUAAGUUUACAUGUGUUUCUAUAUGAAUCUUAUGGAUGUAUUAUUCAAAUAUUGCUAAAAUUGAAUUUAGAAGUAAUUAGAUUUUAUUAAAAUCUAAUGAAAUUAGCUACAUAUUAUGU